UCGCCUGUUUUAUCAAAAACAUAGCCAUUAGAUGAUAUUAUAUGGUUUGACCUGCCCAAUGUUAUUAAUGAAUGGCCGCGGUACCCUGACCGUGCUAAGGUAGCGUAAUCAGUUGAUCUUUAAAUGAGGUCAGGAAUGAAUGGAUGAACCGGGUUUAGCUGUCUCUUACUUGUUUUUUUGAAUUUACUGUUUAGGUGAAAAAGCCUAAAUUUAAAAAAGGGACGAGAAGACCCUUAGAAUUUUUUUUAAUAGGUGUUUACUUUAUAAUUUUAUUGGGGCGAUAAAGAAAUAAUUAAAACUUUCUAUCUGAACAAGCCGAUUAUAUUAAGGAAGGAUAAAUUACCUGAGGGAUAACAGCAUAAUUUUAUAAAUAAGUUUGUGACCUCGAUGUUGGACUAGGAAACUAAUAGGCUAGCCGUUUAUUAUGUUAGGUUCUGUUCGAACUUUAAUUCCU
rnacentral:rRNA from 1 species